rnacentral:rRNA from 1 species
GAAUUUUGGACAAUGGGCGAAAGCCUGAUCCAGCAAUGCCGCGUGCAGGAUGAAGGUCUUCGGGUUGUAAAGCCCUUUUGUUGGGAAAGAAAAGCAGUCGGCUAAUACCCGGUUGUUCUGACGGUACCCAACGAAUAAGCCCCGGCCAACUUCGUGCCAGCAGCCGCGGUAAUACGAAGGGUGCAAGCGUUACCCGGAAUUACUGGGCGUAAAGCGUGCGUAGGUGGUUGUUUAAGUCUGUUGUGAAAGCCCUGGGCUCAACCUGGGAAUUGCAGUGGAUACCGGGCGACUAGAGUGUGGUAGAGGGUAGUGGAAUUCCCGGUGUAGCAGUGAAAUGCGUAGAGAUCGGGAGGAACAUCCAUGGCGAAGGCAGCUACCUGGACCAACACUGACACUGAGGCGCGAAAGCGUGGGGAGCAAACAGG